rnacentral:rRNA from 1 species
AUUGAACGCUGGCGGCAUGCCUUACACAUGCAAGUCGGACGGUAACGCGGGGCAACCUGGCGACGAGUGGCGAACGGGUGAGUAAUGCAUCGGAACGUGCCCAGUAGUGGGGGAUAGCCCGGCGAAAGCCGGAUUAAUACCGCAUACGACCUACGGGUGAAAGCGGGGGACCGUAAGGCCUCGCGCUAUUGGAGCGGCCGAUGUCAGAUUAGGUUGUUGGUGGGGUAAAAGCCUACCAAGCCGACGAUCUGUAGCUGGUCUGAGAGGACGACCAGCCACACUGGGAAUGAGACACGGCCCAGACUCCUACGGGAGGCAGCAGUGGGGAAGUUUGGACAAUGGGGGCAACCCUGAUCCAGCCAUGCCGCGUGCGGGAAGAAGGCCUUCGGGUUGUAAACCGCUUUUGUCAGGGAAGAAACGCUCUGGGCUAAUACCCCGGGGUAAUGACGGUACCUGAAGAAUAAGCACCGGCUAACUACGUGCCAGCCGCCGCAGUAA